UACGGAGGAUGCGAGCGUUAUCCGGAUUUAUUGGGUUUAAAGGGAGCGUAGGUGGAUUGUUAAGUCAGUUGUGAAAGUUUGCGGCUCAACCGUAAAAUUGCAGUUGAAACUGUUAUUCUAGAGUAUGGGAGAGGUAGGUGGAAUUCUUGGUGUAGGGGUAAAAUCCGUAGAGAUCAAGAGGAAUACUCAUUGCGAAGGCGACCUGCUAGAACAUAACUGACGCUGAUGCGCGAAAGCGUGGGGAGCAAACAGG
rnacentral:rRNA from 1 species